UACAGAGGUCUCAAGCGUUGUUCGGAUUCAUUGGGCGUAAAGGGUGCGUAGGUGGCGAGGCAAGUCAGAUGUGAAAUCCCGGGGCUCAACCCCGGAACUGCAUUUGAAACUGCCUUGCUCGAGUACUGGAGAGGAGACUGGGAAUUUACGGUGUAGCAGUGAAAUGCGUAGAUAUCGUAAGGAAGACCAGUGGCGAAGGCGAGUCUCUGGACAGUUACUGACACUGAGGCACGAAGGCCAGGGGAGCAAACGGG
rnacentral:rRNA from 1 species